rnacentral:rRNA from 1 species
UACAGAGGUCCCAAGCGUUGUUCGGAUUCACUGGGCGUAAAGGGUGCGUAGGCGGUCGGGUAAGUCUGUUGUGAAAUCUCCGAGCUUAACUCGGAAACUGCCGUUGAUACUAUUUGUCUUGAAUAUUGUGGAGGUAAGCGGAAUAUGUCAUGUAGCGGUGAAAUGCUUAGAUAUGACAUAGAACACCAAUUGCGAAGGCAGCUUACUACACAACGAUUGACGCUGAGGCACGAAAGCGUGGGGAUCAAACAGG